rnacentral:misc_RNA from 1 species
AAGUCGUAACAAGGUAACCGUAGGUGAACCUGCGGUUGGAUCAUUACCAAAGAAAACAAGCCAAACUUCCCGCCCCCAUGGGGGCGGGACAGCUUGGCCCACCUUCUUUGUUAAAAAGUGCAGCACUGUCUCUGCGCCAGUGCUGCAGCCCGGCAGAGAGAGUGGCUACAAGUUGCUCAGCCUGGCCCCGGCCGGAGCAGGAUCUGGGCCACCACCACGGCAGUGGCGGUGGGCUGGAUUGGCUGGCUUCAGUUGGGGUGGGUUGGUGGCUCGUGGUCCUGUCUUUGCUUGGGACCCCCCAUGCAAAAGAUUUCUGACAACCAAAGAGCAAAAUGAAAUUUGCGCAAACAACUUUUGGCAACGGAUCUCUUGGCUCUC